rnacentral:rRNA from 1 species
UUCUGGCUCAGGAUGAACGCUGGCGGCGUGCUUAACACAUGCAAGUCGAACGGACCUGCAGCACCGAAGCGGAUUAGCUUGCUAAAGAAGCUUCACCGUUGCAGGUUAGUGGCGGACGGGUGAGUAACGCGUGGGCAACCUACCUUUAUCCGGGGGAUAACAGUUAGAAAUGACUGCUAAUACCGCAUAAGCGCACGAAUGGGCAUCCAUUUGUGUGAAAAACUCCGGUGGAUAGAGAUGGGCCCGCGUUAGAUUAGCCAGUUGGCGGGGUAACGGCCCACCAAAGCGACGAUCUAUAGCCGGCCUGAGAGGGCGACCGGCCACAUUGGGACUGAGACACGGCCCAAACUCCUACGGGAGGCAGCAGUGGGGAAUAUUGCACAAUGGGGGAAACCCUGAUGCAGCGACGCCGCGUGAGUGAAGAAGUAUUUCGGUAUGUAAAGCUCUAUCAGCAGGGAAGAAAAAGGACGGUACCUGCAGAAGAAGCCCCGGCUAACUACGUGCCAGCCGCCGC